rnacentral:rRNA from 1 species
UAUGAACCGUUAUAACCGGCGAUACCCGAAUGGGGAAACCCAGUGUGACUCGUCACACUAUCAUUAACUGAAUCCAUAGGUUAAUGAGGCGAACCGGGGGAACUGAAACAUCUAAGUACCCCGAGGAAAAGAAAUCAACCGAGAUUCCCCCAGUAGCGGCGAGCGAACGGGGAGGAGCCCAGAGCCUGAAUCAGCAUGUGUGUUAGUGGAAGCGUCUGGAAAGGCGCGCGAUACAGGGUGACAGCCCCGUACACAAAAGCGCAUGUGCUGUGAGCUCGAUGAGUAGGGCGGGACACGUGGUAUCCUGUCUGAAUAUGGGGGGACCAUCCUCCAAGGCUAAAUACUCCUGACUGACCGAUAGUGAACCAGUACCGUGAGGGAAAGGCGAAAAGAACCCCGGCGAGGGGAGUGAAAAAGAACCUGAAACCGU